GGAUUUGGGAGCUGAGUUAAAUUUGGGGUCACUUGGGCCCAGCAUCUGCAGAUAGGUCACUGCAGGAACCACCAACAGUUGCUUUUCCUAGAUGCUUUUCCCCUUGUCCCAUCUCUGCCACACUAACAGGAUAUUCUGAAUAUUCAAAACACCUUAAUGCCUUCAUACGAAAAGUUCAAGCUCCUGAGAAAUCAUCUCAGUGUAACCCUAAUCUAUUCUCGAACCAUAUCCACCCACAAAGCAGACACUAUCUUCUACCUCUAUCUCUUGUAUUCUCACUCUUCCUUCAGCUAAGAAUCCUUGCGCCCCAACUUUCGUCACUGAGCCAGUUCCACCUGAAUACCCUUCGCAGGUGUCACUUUCUGCAUGCUCACAUGCCGUUUUCCUUUGCAUGGUCAGUGCUCUCAUUAGCAUCACGCUAUUCUCCACUACAGAGCCAACAGAAUCAUAAUGCAAAUGUUGUUCAAGGGCCCUGCUCAUCCCUAUUCCCUCAGUAUGAAGUGUUGAAUCUGUAGGAAGUUAUGCAGUAAUGAGUAGUGCUCAAUUAAUAUUUGUUACUUUUAUUAUUGGAUCAACAGAUCCAGAUACUUUAUGUAACUGAAUUGAAAUAAUCAGUUAUUUAGGAAAAUUUAACUUUAUCAUGAUGAAAUUAUGUGCUUCCAUGUCAUGAUCUAUACUGUACAAGACUGCAAGUUGUAUAUAAGAACAGAAAUGUAUACAUACACAUACAUAUUCCAAUGCUUCUUACUAAAACUGAACAAAUGCUCAAUGAAUUAGAAAUCAUUCCAUUUGCUUUUAGAUUUUCCCAAUAUAUUCAAGGACUCUACAAGUAGGAUUAUGGUUCUUUCAUAGUUUACUUACUAGCUGCUCAGGUUUUACUCAAAAAUAAAAACAAAUUAAAGACAAUUUAUUAUAUGUCAGUGUUCCUUGGACCUUCAGCUACAAAAAGUUCUAUAAAUUUUUAUUUAUUAUCAAUACAAAAAUAGUAGUUAUAGUCUUACUUUCUGAUCAAAUAAACAUUUGAAAUAUCG